CGGCGGACGGGUGAGUAACACGUGGAUAACCUACCUAUAAGACUGGGAUAACUUCGGGAAACCGGAGCUAAUACCGGAUAAUAUAUUGAACCGCAUGGUUCAAUAGUGAAAGACGGUUUUGCUGUCACUUAUAGAUGGAUCCGCGCCGCAUUAGCUAGUUGGUAAGGUAACGGCUUACCAAGGCAACGGUGCGUAGCCGACCUGAGAGGGUGAUCGGCCACACUGGAACUGAGACACGGUCCAG
rnacentral:rRNA from 1 species